rnacentral:misc_RNA from 1 species
GAUGAAGAACGCAGCGAAAUGCGAUAAGUAAUGUGAAUUGCAGAAUUCAGUGAAUCAUCGAAUCUUUGAACGCACAUUGCGCCCGCCAGCAUUCUGGCGGGCAUGCCUGUUCGAGCGUCAUUUCAACCCUCGAGCCCGACUCUUUUGAGGACGGCUCGGCGUUGGGGGACGGCAGACUCCCCCCGGCAUCUCGCCGGGGACGCCGCCCCCGAAAUCUAGUGGCGGCCCUCCGAGGCGACCUCUGCGUAGUAACUUGUUCUCGCACCGGAAAGCUCAGAGCGGCCACGCCGUAAAACCCCAACUUUUUUCAGGUUGACCUCGAAUCAGGUAGGACUACCCGCUGAACUUAAGCAUAUCAAUAAGCGGAGGA